rnacentral:rRNA from 1 species
UACGUAGGGGGCAAGCGUUGUCCGGAUUUAUUGGGCGUAAAGAGCUCGUAGGUGGUUCGGUAAGUCAGAUGUGAAAUCUCCAGGCUCAACCUGGAGGGGUCAUUCGAUACUGCCGUGACUAGAGGUCGGUAGGGGAGUGUGGAAUUCCUGGUGGAGCGGUGAAAUGCGCAGGUAUCAGGAGGAACACCCGUAGCGAAGGCGGCACUCUGGGCCGAUACUGACACUGAGGAGCGAAAGCGUGGGGAGCGAACAGG